rnacentral:rRNA from 1 species
CCUACGGGUGGCAGCAGUGAGGAAUAUUGGUCAAUGGACGCAAGUCUGAACCAGCCAUGCCGCGUGCAGGAAGACUGCUCUAUGAGUUGUAAACUGCUUUUGUACGGGGAUAAACGCAGAUACGCGUACCUGUCUGUAAGUACCUUACGAAUAAGGAUCGGCUAACUCCGUGCCAGCAGCCGCGGUAAUACGGAGGAUCCGAGCGUUAUCCGGAUUUAUUGGGUUUAAGGGGUGCGUAGACGGUCGGAUAAGUUAGUGGUGAAAGACCGAGGCUCAACUUUGGAAUUGCAAUUGAUACUGGUAGUCUAGAGAGCAGUUGCGGUAGGCGGAAUGUAUGGUGUAGCGGUGAAAUGCUUAGAGAUCAUACAGAACACCGAUUGCGAAGGCAGCUUACCAAGCUACUUCUGACGUUGAUGCACGAAAGCGUGGGGAGCAAACAGGAUUAGAUACCCUAGUAGUC